GACAAGUGCAUGUGAUAAUGAUCUAAUGUGAUGAGACAUUUGAAGGAGAGACAGAGGUUCUCUUUGGGCAGAUAAAGAAAUAGUCUAAGGUGAAGCAUCUGCAAUAUGGGGCCAAGAAAUAUGGGAAGGAUUCAACAGAGAUGUGGAGGGGAUUUAUUACAAGGGCAGAGGAUGGAUAUGGUUCUCUGUGCAGGGAAGAAGGAAGUGCAAUGAGGCUGAAGUAUCAAAAAAAAAAGUCAAUUUUUUUCUCUUUUAUGACAUUAACUCUCUCUCUUGCCCCCUAACCCCCUUCCACUUUCUUGCAUAAUAUGGAUAAUAUGAAAAAUUAUAUUAGCGGUCCUUUUUAGCUG